AUUGAACGCUGGCGGCAUGCUUUACACAUGCAAGUCGGACGGCAGCACAGAGAAGCUUGCUUCUUGGGUGGCGAGUGGCGAACGGGUGAGUAACAUAUCGGAACGUACCGAGCAGUGGGGGAUAACUAAUCGAAAGAUUAGCUAAUACCGCAUAUCUUCUGAGGAAGAAAGCAGGGGACCAUUUGGCCUUGCGCUGUUUGAGCGGCCGAUAUCUGAUUAACUAGUUGGUGGGGUAAAGGCCUACCAAGGCGACGAUCAGUAGCGGGUCUGAGAGGAUGAUCCGCCACACUGGGACUGAGACACGGCCCAGACUCCUACGGGAGGCAGCAGUGGGGAAUUUUGGACAAUGGGCGCAAGCCUGAUCCAGCCAUGCCGCGUGUCUGAAGAAGGCCUUCGGGUUGUAAAGGACUUUUGUCAGGGAAGAAAAGGGCGGGGUUAAUACCCCUGUCUGAUGACGGUACCUGAAGAAUAAGCACCGGCUAACUACGUGCCAGCAGCCGCGGUAAUACGUAGGGUGCGAGCGUUAAUCGGAAUUACUGGGCGUAAAGCGGGCGCAGACGGUUACUUAAGCAGGAUGUGAAAUCCCCGGGCUCAACCUGGGAACUGCGUUCUGAACUGGGUGACUAGAGUGUGUCAGAGGGAGGUAGAAUUCCACGUGUAGCAGUGAAAUGCGUAGAGAUGUGGAGGAAUACCGAUGGCGAAGGCAGCCUCCUGGGAUAACACUGACGUUCAUGCCCGAAAGCGUGGGUAGCAAACAGGAAUUAGAUACCCUGGUAGUCCACGCCCUAAACGAUGUCGAUUAGCUGUUGGGCAGCAUGACUGCUUAGUAGCGAAGCUAACGCGUGAAAUCGACC
rnacentral:rRNA from 1 species